rfam:Triticum urartu cultivar G1812 contig1016193, whole genome shotgun sequence.
AGUAUACUCCCUCCGUUCCAAAUUACUCGUCGCAGAAAUGGAUGUAUCUAAAAUUAAAAUACAUCUAGAUAGAUCCAUACUUGUGACAAGUAAUUUGGAAUGGAGGGAGUAGAAU